GCGUACAAUCAUACAAGCGUUAAUUCACCGUAUCCCAUAAAAACUCCAAAGUUAAGAGUGCAUGGGUUAGAGUAAUACUGGGAUGGGUGACCUCCGGAGAAGUCCUAGUGUUGCACCCU
rnacentral:rRNA from 1 species